AGUUGAGUUGAGUUGAGUUGAGUCCCAAAAUGAUUGUCCUCUAUUCCUUUUUGGGAUGUCACAAAAUACAAGCCAUUAUCACAAAGUCUAUAAUUCUUGGAUUUGGUUUUCCUAUUUUAACUCAUUAAUUCUUCAAUUUGAAUAAUGAACUUCAGAGUAAAAUGGGAGAUUAAAUGUAAUUUUUUAUAUUUUUAAGGCAGAUAACUCUAAAUAAAGGGAAAGAUUCCAAUUUUUCUAAGAGGUAAUGAGGGGGGGUAUAAAAGGAAGAAUGGAAUGCCAAAUGUAAGUUGACAUGAUAAUAAUUAUGUUUUCUUAAACUGUGAGAAAAAUGAUAAGUGUGAACUUUUUUGGGAUGGAGGGAGUAUUUGAUGUUGCUAUGAGUUCCUUGAAUUUGAUAAGAAAUUAAGAAUUUGGGGAACAGGGAAACUGUUAAUUCUCUUGUUCGUGGGAAUUUGGAGGUAUCUCGUAUAUAGAGCUGCACUUUGUUGUUUUUCAUUUUUUGUGAGUAAAUAAUCCUAAUAUAUGGGCUUGGGUUCUCUUCUUUGGCUUUAAUACAGAUGUGAGUAGUUCUUAGCAAAAUGUCUUUUGCUAAGCCUCUUGCACUCAAUUGAGUGAAGCCUAAGAGAAAGAGACAGGUGUUUACUGAAUUUUCUCUUUGUUCUUUUUACAUCUUCCAUGGAAUUUGUCUAAACAACUACACAGUAAUGAGAUUGAAUUAUCAAUUAUUAAUUUGAUACGCUACAUAGCCAUUGCAAAUUUUGGGUGCACAAUAUAUGGUCCUGUGAAUAAAAUUUAGGAUCUGGAGUGGUCUUAGACCACAUUUUGGCAAGAAGGGGCUUUGAUCACUUCUCUGGAUAGUUGCUUUCAGUUUGACUGACAGCAUUUUGAUCUCAGUAAGUGGCUUUGUUGAUAGACCAAGUACUUGUUAUUCUUUCUAUUCUUCUUUUAACCCUUCUCAGCAUUUUGACUAAUCCUAGGUAAUUGUAAUCAACCAAAUAGCAAUUGUGAUAGCCAUGAUGACAACCAUGGUGAGGUUGAGGAGUUGUCUAAGUUGCCACUGCAGUUAGCUAUUGUAGGGCGGCCCAAUGUUGGAAAGUCAACCUUGCUGAAUACAUUGUUACAAGAAGAACGUGUGCUGGUGGGUCCAGAGGUUGGUUUGACCAGAGAUUCUAUUAGAGCUCAUUUCCAUUUUCAAGGGAGAACCAUAUAUCU
rnacentral:misc_RNA from 1 species